rnacentral:rRNA from 1 species
GGGGAUUUGCCAAUGGGCGCAAGCCUGAUGCAGCCUGCCGNGUGUGUGAAGAAGGCCUUCGGGUUGUAAAGCACUUUCAGUCAGGAGGAAAGGUUAGUAGUUAAUACCUGCUAGCUGUGACGUUACUGACAGAAGAAGCACCGGCUAACUCCGUGCCAGCAGCCGCGGUAAUACGGAGGGUGCGAGCGUUAAUCGGAAUUACUGGGCGUAAAGCGUACGCAGGCGGUUUGUUAAGCGAGAUGUGAAAGCCCCGGGCUCAACCUGGGAACUGCAUUUCGAACUGGCAAACUAGAGUGUGAUAGAGGGUGGUAGAAUUUCAGGUGUAGCGGUGAAAUGCGUAGAGAUCUGAAGGAAUACCGAUGGCGAAGGCAGCCACCUGGGUCAACACUGACGCUCAUGUACGAAAGCGUGGGGAGCAAACAGGAUUAGAUACCCUGGUAGUCCACGCCGUAAACGAUGUCUACUAGAAGCUCGGAGCCUCGGCUCUGUUUUUCAAAGCUAACGCAUUAAGUAGACCGCCUGGGGAGUACGGCCGCAAGGUUAAAACUCAAAUGAAUUGACGGGGGCCCGCACAAGCGGUGGAGCAUGUGGUUUAAUUCGAUGCAACGCGAAGAACCUUACCUACACUUGACAUACAGAGAACUUACCAGAGAGGUUUGGUGCUUCGGGAACGCUA